AUUGAACGCUGGCGGCAGGCCUAACACAUGCAAGUCGAGCGGAGCGGCGGACGGGUGGGUAAUGCCUAGGAAUCUGCCUGGUAGUGGGGGAUAACGUCCGGAAACGGGCCCUAAUACCGCAUACUAUCAGAUGAGCCAAGAUUGGAUGAGCUAGUUGGUGGGGUAACGGCUCACCAAGGCGACGAUCCCUAGCUGGGCUGAGAGGAUGACCAGCCACACUGGAACGGAGACACGGUCCAGACUCCUACGGGAGGCAGCAGUGGGGAAUAUUGCACAAUGGGCGAAAGCCUGAUACAGCCAUGCCGCGUGUGUGAAGAAGGCCUUCGGAUCGUAAAGCACUUUAAGCGGGGAGGCGUUACCGGCAGAAAAAGCACCGGCUAACUCCGUGCCAGCAGCCGCGGUAAUUC
rnacentral:rRNA from 1 species